AACAGGAUUAGAUACCCUGGUAGUCCACGCCGUAAACGAUGUCGACUUGGAGGUUGUGCCCUUGAGGCGUGGCUUCCGGAGCUAACGCGUUAAGUCGACCGCCUGGGGAGUACGGCCGCAAGGUUAAAACUCAAAUGAAUUGACGGGGGCCCGCACAAGCGGUGGAGCAUGUGGUUUAAUUCGAUGCAACGCGAAGAACCUUACCUACUCUUGACAUCCAGAGAACUUAGCAGAGAUGCUUUGGUGCCUUCGGGAACUCUGAGACAGGUGCUGCAUGGCUGUCGUCAGCUCGUGUUGUGAAAUGUUGGGUUAAGUCCCGCAACGAGCGCAACCCUUAUCCUUUGUUGCCAGCGGUUCGGCCGGGAACUCAAAGGAGACUGCCAGUGAUAAACUGGAGGAAGGUGGGGAUGACGUCAAGUCAUCAUGGCCCUUACGAGUAGGGCUACACACGUGCUACAAUGGCGCAUACAAAGAGAAGCGACCUCGCGAGAGCAAGCGGACCUCAUAAAGUGCGUCGUAGUCCGGAUCGGAGUCUGCAACUCGACUCCGUGAAGUCGGAAUCGCUAGUAAUCGUAGAUCAGAAUGCUACGGUGAAUACGUUCCCGGGCCUUGUACACACCGCCCGUCACACCAUGGGAGUGGGUUGCAAAAGAAGUAGGUAGCUUAACCUUCGGGAGGGCGCUUACCACUUUGUGAUUCAUGACUGGGGUGAAGUCGUAACAAGGUAACC
rnacentral:rRNA from 1 species